rnacentral:tRNA from 3 species
CAACGGGGAUUCGACUUCCCCUGGGGGUA